rnacentral:rRNA from 1 species
GACGAACGCUGGCGGCGUGCUUAACACAUGCAAGUCGAACGGUGACGCACCUUCGGGUGCUGAUCAGUGGCGAACGGGUGAGUAACACGUGGGCAACCUGCCCCUGACUCUGGGAUAACCCCUCGAAAGAGGAGCUAAUACCGGAUACCACCUCCCGCGGCAUCGCGGGUGGUUGAAAGUCUUUCGGUCAGGGAUGGGCCCGCGGCCUAUCAGCUAGUUGGUGGGGUAGUGGCCUACCAAGGCGACGACGGGUAGCCGGCCUGAGAGGGCGACCGGCCACACUGGGACUGAGACACGGCCCAGACUCCUACGGGAGGCAGCAGUGGGGAAUAUUGCGCAAUGGGCGAAAGCCUGACGCAGCAACGCCGCGUGAGGGAUGACGGCCUUCGGGUUGUAAACCUCUUUCAGCGGGGACGAAGCGCAAGUGACUGUACCCGCAGAAGAAGCGCCGGCUAACUACGUGCCAGCCGCCGCCGUAAGAC